rnacentral:rRNA from 1 species
GUAGUCCACGCCCUAAACGAUGUGCACUAGACCGAUGCGGCUCUGACGUCGUAUUGGUCGUAGAGAAAUUGAUAAGUGCACCGCCUGGGGAGUACGGUCGCAAGGCUAAAACUCAAAGAAAUUGACGGGGGCUCACACAAGCGGUGGAGCAUGUUGCUUAAUUCGAAGCAACGCGAAGAACCUUACCCGGGUUUGACAUGCACGGAUUAGUACUUGGAAACAGGUAUGAGGCCCGCAAGGGUACAACGUGCACAGGUGCUGCAUGGCUGUCGUCAGCUCGUGCUGUGAAGUGUUUGGUUAAGUCCAUUAACGAGCGCAACCCUUGUCGCUAGUUGCUAACAGGUAAUGCUGAGGACUCUAGCGAGACUGCCGGCGUCAAGCCGGA